AGGCUUUUGGAGACUCCUGAAGAUUGGAGGCAGCUGCAGAAGUGAAGUGACCCAGAGUGAGCAGUGCAAUGGACAGUGCUCCUGGGGAAAGUGGCUAAAAUUGAAAUAACCACUGUGUGAAAUGAAGUAUCUACAAACCCUCCCCUGGGCAAGCUCCCAACCUGAGGAACUGGCACCAGGAGGUUUGUCCCAAUGUGAUGCAUGAAAUGAAGAUUGUGUAGCUCUCUAAAUCCAGAUUACCAGCUGAUUUCCUCCCCUAAAUUCCAAGGCACCAUCUGUCAAAAUCACGAAGACCUCCACUACCAGGCUCUUUGAGAUGGGAAAGUGUCAUCUCCACUUCUGCAUACAGGAUGCUGAGGAGCAGAACAGCUGAGGCUGUGCUUGCACAAAAAAAAUGAAGGGGAAACCAUGCAGAUGUGUGUUUGUUUGAGGUACCUUAUUGAAGCACAUGGAUAUAUUUUAUUUGUGAUGGAGCAUCACGUUUCCAAGAAAGUAACAGCUAACACUGGAAUUAGAUCCAUGCUUUUUAUAUUGGACUUACAAGGAAUUCAGGUAUCUAAUUCUAAAACUGCAGCCAAAAGAAACAUUGCUAUCUAGCAUCUUCUUUGCAUAAGUUGUUCCUUCAUUCAAUGAGAAAGCUCUUUAUGUAUUCACACAGGCAAUGGGAAACACCAUGUUCCCUGAAGACAGAGUGGACUCAAGGCCUCAGCCCUUACUUCAGACAAAAUGAACCUUUAUCCCCAGGCAAGCUCAGCAGCAGAAAUACCCAUCCCAGGUCCCAGCUUGGGUCACAACAAACUCAGAAGCUCUGCGGUGGCAAGUUCUCAUCAAAUGUCGUGUGGCAAGGGUCUGCUCUCAUCUUGGCUGCUGUACACCAGGAAUGAAGUGGCCACCUUUGGUCUAUCUACUCUGGAUUUUCUCUGGGGGAGGGAGAUUGCAAUCUGGCUCAUUGCAUCUUUCUAUGUGUGUCACUCGAAAGUACAGAAGAAUAAAAAAGAAGAGCUCUUUUCUUCCAUUGGCUGAAGAUGAAGUUCUUUGUCCAGUGAAAUCCCUGCUUUAAGCACCUCAAAGGAUUACUGAAGUUAGAAAUUGAAUCUUUCUUUGAUAGCCCCAGCAUAAAUAUAUGCACAUAUAAAUAGAGAGACACAGCAUGGGUGCAUUUCAAUAGAUAGAUAUUAUUCUGAUGUAUAUGCUGUAAACAUCUAUGCAGAAAAGGAAA
rnacentral:lncRNA from 1 species